AUAGGUUGUAGGGAACUGAAAGGGACCGACCCUUCGGGAGCCUAUACAGGUGUUGCAUGGCUGUCGUCAGCUCGUGUCGUGAGAUGUUGGGUUAAGUCCCGUAACGAGCGCAACCCUUUGUCCAUAGUUGCCAGCACGUAAAGGUGGGAACUCUAAUGAGACUGCCGGUGACAAACCGGAGGAAGGUGGGGAUGACGUCAAGUCCUCAUGGCCCUUAUGGGUAGGGCUUCACACGUCAUACAAUGGUCGGUACAGAGGGUCGCCAACCCGCGAGGGGGAGCUAAUCCCACAAAGCCGAUCGUAGUCCGGAUCGCAGUCUGCAACUCGACUGCGUGAAGUCGGAAUCGCUAGUAAUCGUGGAUCAGCAUGUCACGGUGAAUACGUUCCCGGGUCUU
rnacentral:rRNA from 1 species